GAUAGAUGGAUCAGAGAGAAUGAAAGGCCAAAUAAAAUGUAUAAAGGAAGACACUUUCUUUUAUUUCAUCAUCUAAGACUAAUGUAAUUAACAAAGCUAAACAGACACACACAUACGUAUAUGAGAUAUGAGAUAACCAACGGUUGGCAUAACAACUCUUCAUUAUUCUCUUAACUACAUCUUCCGGGGGAAAGCCCUUCUCUCUGAGAUUGUUUCCUAUCUCUGUUUCAUUUGGGUUCUCCCUUGUACUCUUCCUUCAUUUGGGAUCUUUCAUCCCUCUGUCUUGGUUAGUUUUACUUCAACUAUUUUUGCUUCUACAACCCAGUCUCAUCAGUAUUGAUUGUCCCCUGUUACAUCCAUCCACCCAUAACUAUAUAUAUAGAGAGAGAGAGUUUCUGGAUUAGCUGCAAUUCUAAAUUCUAAACCAAAACCAGAUUCAAAACCCAAUCUAAAAUAACCAAUCACAAAUUAGAGGAAACAAAGAAUGGUUCCCAACUUCCCAUCACUUCAAGGAGAGGAACAGCACGGGAUUUACUCACCUGUGCC
rnacentral:misc_RNA from 1 species